rnacentral:rRNA from 1 species
AUGAAGGAGACGAUGAAGAACCAGCGCCUAUUGGGCCCUGGAAAGCCACCUCGUCAUAUGACGUAUACAUGGUGGACGCACCAAAAGAUAACGACGAGGAGCGGAAGGACGCACCGAAGGCUUGUUCCCUCGAGAAGCAGUGAAAGCGGCGACGCAAGCGCCGCCCCAAAUCCCGCCUCGACAGAAAUAACGAUCACACAGACCCAGCGCUGGAGCAGGGCGAACCGCUGCCGGACAACGGCAAUCCGGAUAAUCAAACCGAACAAACAAAUUCUAUCAAGGAUAAUGGUCUGGACGACAUAA